GACGAACGCUGGCGGCGUGCUUAACACAUGCAAGUCGAACGGAGAGGCCCUGCUUUUGUGGGGUGCUCGAGUGGCGAACGGGUGAGUAACACGUGAGUAACCUGCCCUUGACUUUGGGAUAACUUCAGGAAACUGGGGCUAAUACCGGAUAGGAGCUCCUGCUGCAUGGUGGGGGUUGGAAAGUUUCGGCGGUUGGGGAUGGACGCGCGGCUUAUCAGCUUGUUGGUGGGGUAGUGGCUUACCAAGGCUUUGACGGGUAGCCGGCCUGAGAGGGUGACCGGCCACAUUGGGACUGAGAUACGGCCCAGACUCCUACGGGAGGCAGCAGUGGGGAAUAUUGCACAAUGGGCGGAAGCCUGAUGCAGCAACGCCGCGUGCGGGAUGACGGCCUUCGGGUUGUAAACCGCUUUCGCCUGUGACGAAGCGUGAGUGACGGUAAUGGGUAAAGAAGCACCGGCUAACUACGUG
rnacentral:rRNA from 1 species